GCCGGGAUGGCGGAAUUGGUAGACGCAGCGGAUUCAAAAUCCGCCGGCUUUACAGCUGUGGGAGUUCAAGUCUCCCUCUCGGUACCA
rnacentral:tRNA from 2 species